UCUACUUCUACUUGGUUCCCAGACUGCCCUUUGAGAAUAAAAUGGGAGGCCACAACCAAAGUCUUUUGGAUAAAGCAGCACAACUCUAACCUGUUUGGCUGCCUUACUUCCCAAGGCACAGAUCUUUCCCAGCAUGGGAAAGACCUCCCUCCCUCCCUCCCUCCCUGCCUCCCUCCCUCCCUUUUGACCCAUUUUCACUCUUCCACCAUACACUCAAUAAAAUAAAAUAAAAUAAAAU
rnacentral:lncRNA from 1 species